UGCAACUUUUUAUUAUCUUUGCAGCUAUUUAAGAUGAAUUUGUCUUAGAGCUUUCGCUUGCACGUUUGAAGGCUCUUGCUGAAUUUGUCUUUGGUAUGGGUUUAUAUCAGGGUGUUCCGUCUACUCUUGCUUUCAUAGCCUUCGAACUCCCACCUAAUGGAGCUAUUGGCACUCGGAUUCUGGAGUUCCUAUUUCGCUCCAGAUCUGAUAUGAUUGCAGGUGAUCGAUCGUCAGAAGUAUUGAUGAGGCUAUAACAACUGGCACUGCACUCUCGUUGUCAUCUUCUACAUUUGUUCUACAGGAAUGAAAGUCCCCUUGUAACACUAGUUACUGUAAGAUCUUAAUCUUUUAUCUUUUCCUUGUUGUGUCCCGAUAGAAUUUGCUUAGGAAAUGGCUUAAUAAAAGUGCGCUCGGGUCAUUUUGACCCAUUUAACUAAGAAUUAGACCCGAACGCAUUUUAAACAACUAAAAAUUAGCAUUUAAUUAUAGUUUGUUAGUAUUGUUGCUAUGUUAUUUGUGUUUGUAGUUUCGUUUAACAUGUUUUAACAAGUUUAAAUUUAUUUGAUUUGUGUGAUUUUU